rnacentral:lncRNA from 1 species
GGAGCGAGCCCCCAGUGCUGGGCCCGGAGAGAGGUGGACCCAUCACAAGGGGCAUCAUGGGCCUUCCUCCCCCCAGUCGAUCCGGAUCAUCAGUCGGGACGACUUGGAUGAGCACUUGCUAUGCGCUUGGCACUGUGCCUGAAUCCCUGACGUGUACCCUCGUGGCUCUCAGGGGAGGUCGGUGCUGUUACCAGGAAAGUGGCCUCCUCACUCCUGACCCUGCAUGCUUCUGGGGAUCUUGGCAGAGUCCUUCAGUUCCUGCCUAAGGAGAACUGAGCCCUCUCCCCAUGGACGUGCCUGCCACUCAGGUAUCUUUUAUCCCCUGUAGACCCUGUCAGCGUCUUCCAACAUGGGGACACCACAGCUUUCCACAGAAGGGACACAACGCCAUGCAGUCAUUAAAACCAGCAGUUUGGUUUUAAUCGGCCUGAAUUCAUGUCUAGCUCUUCCUCUUUCUUCCCACCUGUGUGAACCUGGACAAGUAGCUUCCUGGCUCUGGGAUUCUAUUGUCUCAUGUUUAAGUUGGGAAUAAUAAAAGACAUCUUCUCAUUAAAUCUCUUAAACAGCCCUCCAAGGUAUAAGCAUUGUCCCCAUAUUAUAGACGAGCAACCAGACAUAG